UUGACCUCGGAUCAGGUAGGAAUACGCGCUGAACUUAAGCAUAUCAAUAAGCGCAGGAA
rnacentral:rRNA from 1 species